rnacentral:rRNA from 1 species
GACGAACGCUGGCGGCGUGCUUAACACAUGCAAGUCGAACGGAAAGGCCCUGCUUUUGUGGGGUGCUCGAGUGGCGAACGGGUGAGUAACACGUGAGUAACCUGCCCUUGACUUUGGGAUAAGUUCAGGAAACUGGGGCUAAUACCGGAUAGGAGCUCCUGCUGCAUGGUGGGGGUUGGAAAGUUUCGGCGGUUGGGGAUGGACUCGCGGCUUAUCAGCUUGUUGGUGGGGUAGUGGAUUACCAAGGCAUUGACGGGUAGCCGGCCUGAGAGGGUGACCGGCCACAUUGGGACUGCGAUACGGCCCAGACUCCAACGGGAGGCAGCAGUGGGGAAUAUUGCACAGUGGGCGGAAGCCUGAUGCAGCAACGCCGCGUGCGGGAUGACGGCCUUCGGGUUGUAAACCGCUGUCGCCUGUGACGAAGCGUGAGUGACGGUAAUGGGUAAAGAAGCACCGGCUAACUACGUG